AGAAUCAACGCUGGCGGCGUGCCUAACACAUGCAAGUCGAACGAGAAAGGGGAGCAAUCCCCGAGUAUAGUGGCGCACGGGUGAGUAACACGUGAAUAAUCUACCUCCGAGUGGGGAAUAACUGAGAGAAAUCUUAGCUAAUACCGCAUAACACUUACGAGUCAAAGCAGCAAUGCGCUUGGAGAGGAGUUCGCGGCCGAUUAGUUAGUUGGCGGGGUAAUGGCCCACCAAGACGAUGAUCGGUAUCCGGCCUGAGAGGGCGCACGGACACACUGGAACUGAAACACGGUCCAGACUCCUACGGGAGGCAGCAGUGGGGAAUUUUGCGCAAUGGGGGAAACCCUGACGCAGCAACGCCGCGUGGAGGAUGAAGUAUCUCGGUACGUAAACUCCUUUCGAUGGGGAAGAUAAUGACGGUACCCAUAGAAGAAGCCCCGGCUAACUUCGUGCCAGCAGCCGC
rnacentral:rRNA from 1 species